GGUUCGUCACAUCCUGGGGCUGGAGAAGGUCCCAAGGGUUCGGCUGUUCGCCGAUUAAAGUGGCACGUGAACUGGGUUCAGAACGUCGCAAGACAGUUCGGUCUCUAUCUGUGGUGGGCGUUACAGAAUUGAGAAGACAUGCUCUUAGUACGAGAGGACCGGAGCGUACGUACCGCUGGUGUAUCUGUUGUGCCGCCAGGUGCAAUGCAGAGUAGCUAUGUACGGCAAGGAUAAGCGCUGAAAGCAUCUAAGCGCGAAACCUUCUUCAAGAUGAGUUCUGUUUUAAGGGUCGUAGUAGACGACUACGUUGAUAGGCUACAGGUGUAAAGUUGGUAACAGCAAAGCCAAGUAGUACUAAUUGCCCGUAAGCUUUUACUUU
rnacentral:rRNA from 1 species